GUUCCAGUUGUAGUUUCCGAAAGACGCAUUACAGAACAUACACAUGUAUCUUUGGCAUGCAUGUAGGACCGUUCCUUGUGAAUGUAUGGUACAUGCAUAAAAUAUCGUUUUAUCGGAACUGUUCGGAGCAGCAGCAUAUAUUUAAUUAUUUAGAUCAACUCGCCUUGUUUAUAUUUAUACUCUCUUAUAUUAAUACGCUAUUGUCGCGCUCAUCGCUCCUCUCACAGUGCAUAGAAGCGCACGCAUAUGUAUACACCCUUCGUACUGGUUUAUUGCAGUGCUUUGCCCUGUUAUUUUGCCAGUCUAAAAUAUUGUCGAUCGACGCGCAUCUCCGAGCAGUCCAAUUAUUUUCUAUGUCCAACGCGAACCCGUUAUUUUAAUCGAGCUCUAAAUUAUUGUGAAGUUUAACGUACGGCCCGCCCCCUAUAAGCUGUAUAAAUUCGUAAAAUAAUAAACAAAUAUAUCAAAAACUAAAACGGAGAAUAAUUGUCGUAAAUGUGGAGUCAGAGUUGCCGAAAAAGCUCGGCAGCUUCCUUUUAUUAAAUAAGCAUGUAUAAAUUGUCCAUAAAUCGUUAUUUAUUGUUUCCUUCAUAUUCUUUAGAUGCUGUCAUUUUUGAUUAUGUUCAUACUUGUAUGUAUGUAUUGAUGUACAUGCACUCAUACAUAUGUACAUACAUACAUAUGUACGUGACACUCCUGUGACACUUAAGAGUUUAAGUGCAACUGCACUUAAUUAAUGUAUUUAAAAAUGAAUUUGUAUAAUCCUUAAAUAUCAAAUUUUAUACCCGGUACUCAAAGAAUAAAUAGGGUACAUAUGUAUAUUGUAUUUGUGUUGGAAAGUGGAUGUGUGUAACGCAUAGAAGGAAACGUUUCCGACCCCUUUAUAUACACAUAUACAAUAUACUUAACAAUAUUAUGAUAAAAACUGUAGUAAAGUAAUAAAAUAUAAUAAAUUGUCCCCAUUUUCAUGUUCUGAGGUACUUUCUUCUAAAUGCAAACUUGUUCAUGAAAUAGAAUUAGAUCAUUCUUUUUUUGGUAGUGUAAUUGUCUUUUGUUGGAGCAUACCAAGAAGUGAACAAUUUAUAUCCCUCGUUGCAGACGUUAGGAUCUUUUCUUUAAAAAAAAAAAAAUUAAAGUAAAAAAAGAUGAAUAUUAUAUAAAUCCAACUGAAUCCUAUUGGAUAACUCCUACACAUAAAACAAGAAGAGAUAAUAGGAACUAUGAUGGUAGGGACAUCAUGGUACCGAAAUGGGAUUUAUAUAAAAAUUUCUCUAUAGAUUAUAAAGUAGAAAAUGAUAGAGUCUUUAUUUUAGAUACUUCCCCUUUUUAUAUUGCACAGUACUUAAAUCUUCUUAAACAUGAUAGAGCUUGUAAUGGACAGUGGUCAAUAAAAUCAAAUGGUAUUCUUCCUUUUCCAAUGACUUUUGUAAAUGGUAAAUCUUAUUUUGAACCAAGAAAACUUCAUUCUUGUGAGUGGUUGUACACUACUAAUAAAACUAAAUUUUGUAAAGAACUAUAUAUAGAUUCUCGUAUUUCAACUGAAGCCACAAAUAUAAUAUUUAUGAAGAAGGAG
rnacentral:lncRNA from 1 species